UUUCCUGUGGCUCAGUGGCACAGCCUCUGCUGGUUGUGCAGAAGGUCCGAGGUUCAAUCCCUGGCAGCACUUAAA
rnacentral:tRNA from 1 species